UCUUGAUUCCAGACCCUCAAAUAUACGUAAAUGUACGAAAGCUUGCAUGGUACGUCGAACACGAAAACCCGGAAAUCUUUUCACCGUUACCGUUUUUUAUACUAUGACGCAAAAUCCAUGGACGCUCACGCGAUCAUCUGUUGCUGUCUUUUUAAAAGUUUUUAAGAAUGGACAGAGAUAGAUGAUACAAGGAACUUUGGUUUUUCAAACUGGUGAAUCAAAAAAUUAUUAUAAACAGAUAAAUUGAAAUGGGUGACUUGUCGAUUAACUGGAAGAAACCAGGGAACGAAACAUAGAAAAUUUAUGAAACGAAAGUCAACGCAACGAAAGUCAAAGUGUUUUUGUUUUGAUGGAUAAUUUUACGUACCCCAAAAGCGCAACGAAAGCAUUUUGAAUGAAAGUACAUUUUGUACAUGUACUUCAACAGAACAGAAUUCAUUUGAGGCCUUGCUUUCUAGAUUAUAUAAUGGAUUCAUAGAUUGUCAUAUUGAUUUAUGUGCAUAAAAGGAGCAGUAGUCAACGAAUAAUUUUGUGAUGAGAGCUUAUUACCAUGGUUACCAAAUGAAAGGAAAGUGCAGUAUUAGAAUCACUGGUGUACAUGUAGAUGCGGAUGUCCGGCAAAAAGAACUGGUAUCAAAGUAAGUUCAUCUGUAGAAUUGCAGUUAAUUUAAAUAAUUUAAUGUUAUCUAUUUAAACCUUUUUCAAGUGUAAUUGUACAUGUUUCGGCAUGUAUACUGUUGUUUAUUUAUGUCUUUCUGAUGUCAAGUAUGCAUCAAGGAAUCCUUAUCCUGUUCUCCUUCUUCUGCUCCACACACACACACGCAUGAGAUGUCAGAAGUUCAAAUAAUUAUAGCAUUUGCUUAUAUUAUGAAUUGUAUAUUUAAAAGUUGUUCU